rnacentral:rRNA from 1 species
UACAGAGGUCUCAACCGUUGUUCGGAUUCAUUGGGCGUAAAGGGUGCGUAGGCGGUCGCGUAAGUCAGGUGUGAAAUCUCAGGGCUCAACCCUGAAACUGCACUUGAUACUGCGUGGCUCGGGUGCUGGAGAGGAGACUGGAAUUUACGGUGUAGCAGUGAAAUGCGUAGAUAUCGUAAGGAAGACCAGUGGCGAAGGCGAGUCUCUGGACAGUUACCGACGCUGAGGCACGAAGGUCAGGGGAGCAAACGGG